CCUACGGGGGGCAGCAGUGAGGAAUAUUGGUCAAUGGGCGGAAGCCUGAACCAGCCAAGUAGCGUGCGGGAUGAAGGCCCUACGGGUCGUAAACCGCUUUUGCACGGGGAUAACACCCUCCACUUGUGGAGGUCUGCAGGUACCGUGCGAAUAAGGGUCGGCUAAUUCCGUGCCAGCAGCCGCGGUAAUACGGAAGGUCCGAGCGUUAUCCGGAUUUAUUGGGCUUAAAGGGAGCGUAGGCGGGCGUUCAAGUCAGCGGUAAAAUCGCGGGGCUCAACCGCGCCCAGCAGUUGAAACUGGAAGCCUUGAGUUCGCAAGAGGCAGGCGGAAUGCGUGGUGUAGCGGUGAAAUGCAUAGAUAUCACGAGGAACCCCGAUUGCGAAGGCAGCCUGCCGGGGUGCGACUGACGCUGAGGCUCGAAGGUGCGGGUAUCGAACAGGAUUAGAUACCCGAGUAGUC
rnacentral:rRNA from 1 species